CAGUCGAGGGGUAACAGGGUGCUUGCACCGCUGACGACCGGCGCACGGGUGCGUAACGCGUAUACAAUCUACCUUGUAGAGGGGGAUAGCCCGGGGAAACCCGGAUUAAUACCCCAUAGUAUUAAAGAGCAGCAUUGCUUUUUGAUUAAACAUUUAUGGCUACAAGAUGAGUAUGCGUUCUAUUAGCUAGUAGGUAAGGUAACGGCUUACCUAGGCUACGAUAGAUAGGGGUCCUGAGAGGGAGAUCCCCCACACUGGUACUGAGACACGGACCAGACUCCUACGGGAGGCAGCAGUGAGGAAUAUUGGACAAUGGGCGAGAGCCUGAUCCAGCCAUGCCGCGUGCAGGAAGACGGCCCUAUGGGUUGUAAACUGCUUUUAUACAGGAAGAAACACUCCCUCGUGAGGGAGCUUGACGGUACUGUAAGAAUAAGGAUCGGCUAACUCCGUGCCAGCAGCCGCGGUAAUACGGAGGAUCCAAGCGUUAUCCGGAAUCAUUGGGUUUAAAGGGUCCGUAGGCGGGACAAUCAGUCAGCGGUGAAAGUCUGUGGCUCAACCAUAGAAUUGCCAUUGAUACUGUUGUUCUUGAGUGUUUAUGAAGUGGUUAGAAUAUGUGGUGUAGCGGUGAAAUGCAUAGAUAUCACAU
rnacentral:rRNA from 1 species